UCAUAUAGAAAUCUAAACCACAAUACACAUUUUAAAAUCAUGUCCUUCCUUUUGUCCUUCUACAUGGUUUUGUAUUUAUAGCAAGCUGUACAUAGGCUAAAAAACUUAUCAAUGGCUCAACAUGAAACUUCUUCAUCUUCUUGGUUUAUUCUUCUUUCUCUUCUUGCAAUCAAAUUAAUGUCUUUUUCUGGAGUUUCUUCUUUAAAUCUUGAUGAAAAUGACUACAUCUCGGCCGUCGGCGAUCCGGGGAUGAGAAGGGAUGGGCUAAGAGUUGCAAUAGAAGCAUGGAAUCAAUGCAAUGAAGUUGGAGAAGAAGUAGCUAAAAUGGGCAGUCCAAGAGCUGCUGAUUGCUUUGAUGUCUAUAAAGCUUCUCCUAAAUCAAAAGGGGCAAAUAAUUGUUCACUUUGCAAUGCAAUACCAUACAUGUUGGUACACAGAGUGACAGAGGAAGAAAACAGGUUAGGAAUAGGAAAACCUUUUCUUGGAUUGGAGAAAAAGGCAAUUCUUGAUAUUGACCAAUAUGCAGCACAAAAAGAACUCUAUUUGGGAUCAAAAUGUCAAGUUGAAGACAAACCAAAACCAUGGCAAUUUUGGAUGAUCAUGCUUAAAAAUGGAAAUAUGGAUACCUAUGCUGCAAAAUGUCCGAAAAACGGUCACAAAAUAGGUCCAUAUGGUCCUGAUAAUAGAUUUCCAUGUUUUGGCAAAGGAUGUAUGAAUCAGCCAUUGAUUUUUCACAAUUAUACAACAUUACAAGGUCAUAAUAGGACUACACUUAAAGGAAGUUUUUAUGGAACAUGGGAUUUGAGUAGUAGAUUGAGUAAAACAAGAGAAGAGAAUAGUUCUUUCUAUUCUGUUAAAUGGCAGAAAGAAUUAGGAAAAGAUAGUUGGAUUUUUCAGCAUGUGUUGAGGACAUCAACUAAGUAUCCUUGGCUUAUGCUUUACCUAAGAUCAGAUGCUACAUUUGGUUUUUCUGGUGGAUAUCAUUAUCCAACUAGGGGCAUGUCAAAAAUUAUACCAGAAUCACCAAAUUUUAAGGUGAGAUUCACAUUGAAUGUGAUUAGGGGAGGAGGUCCAAGCAGCCAAUUUUACUUAAUGGACAUGGGGAGUUGUUGGAAGAACAAUGGAAAGCCAUGUGAUGGCAAUGUAACAUCCGACGUUACGCGAUAUAGCGAGAUGAUCCUGAAUCCAGAAACACCAUCUUGGUGCAAACCAGAUAGCCCAAAAUUAUGUCCACCAUAUCACAUUUUCCCUAAUGGAACAAGAAUUCAUCGAAACGAUACGACUCGUUUUCCCUAUGAGGCUUAUCAUAUGUAUUGUGCACCUGGAAAUGGUGAACAUAUUGAACAACCUAGUGUUCAUUGUGAUCCUUAUAGUAAUCCUCAGCCUCAAGAAAUUCUGCAGAUUUUGCCACAUCCUGUUUGGGGAGAUUAUGGUUAUCCUACUAGGAAAGGAGAUGGUUGGAUUGGAGAUCCAAGAACAUGGGAACUUGAUGUUGGGAGGUUGUCACAUUCACUUUAUUUUUACCAGGAUCCAGGAACUAAACCAGCAAAGAGGAAAUGGAGUUCAAUUGAUUUGGGAACAGAAAUUUAUAAAGAUCCAAAUCAAGUGGCAGAGUGGACUGUUAGUGAUUUUGACAUUCUUGUACCUAAGAAAAAGUUGUGAUAAUGUAAAAAAUAGGCAGCCCGGGCGUUGGUGCACUAAGCUCCUGCUAUGGACGAGGUUUGUGGAAGUGCCAGGCGACGUUGGAUUUAAUGUAUGUUCAUUAGUGGCAGCAGUUCAAUUACCUCUCCAACGCGAGAAUCAACAAUGUCAUUUUAAUCUCAAAGCUCUAGCUAUUUCUAAGGUGAAACAGUACAAAUACAUUCGACGUUGCAUUUUGUAUUAGAGAGUGAUGUGUAACAUGAAAGACGAAGGAGUUCAAUGCGUUGAAUGGUAUCCCAAAUGCAUGAACCGACAAUAAAUAAACUGAUAAGCUAGUGAGCCUAUAUUAAAGUGAUUACUGGAGUUAGAUUGUUAAAAUAAAAGGUCAAAGCAUUCAUAACUACUCAAAAGUGAUACGCACAACACUAUAUUAUCAAUGAAGAUCCUAUUGAUCAAUGCAAUUCCACCCAAAUAUCAAUAUAUAUUGUCAAACAUCUUUUCUAUUUCUUUAAAAAGAAAUUGUCAAACAAGUAACUUAUGCAUUCCAGAUUCUAGAGUUGACAUACCAAUAACUGUGGAAGGACGAACUUCGUAGUUAUAU